ACGGGUGAGUAAUACAUCGGAACGUGCCCGAGAGUGGGGGAUAACGAAGCGAAAGCUUUGCUAAUACCGCAUACGAUCUCAGGAUGAAAGCAGGGGACCGCAAGGCCUUGCGCUCACGGAGCGGCCGAUGGCAGAUUAGGUAGUUGGUGGGAUAAAAGCUUACCAAGCCGACGAUCUGUAGCUGGUCUGAGAGGACGACCAGCCACACUGGGACUGAGACACGGCCCAGACUCCUACGGGAGGCAGCAGUGGGGAAUUUUGGACAAUGGGCGCAAGCCUGAUCCAGCCAUGCCGCGUGCAGGAUGAAGGCCUUCGGGUUGUAAACUGCUUUUGUACGGAACGAAAAGACUCUGGUUAAUACCUGGGGUCCAUGACGGUACCGUAAGAAUAAGCACCGGCUAACUACGUGCCAGCAGCCGCGGUAAUACGUAGGGUGCGAGCGUUAAUCGGAAUUACUGGGCGUAAAGCGUGCGCAGGCGGUUAUAUAAGACAGAUGUGAAAUCCCCGGGCUCAACCUGGGAACUGCAUUUGUGACUGUAUAGCUAGAGUACGGCAGAGGGGGAUGGAAUUCCGCGU
rnacentral:rRNA from 1 species